UACGAAGGGGGCUAGCGUUGCUCGGAAUUACUGGGCGUAAAGCGCACGUAGGCGGGUCAUUAAGUCGGGGGUGAAAUCCUGGAGCUCAACUCCAGAACUGCCUUCGAUACUGGCGAUCUCGAGUCCGGGAGAGGUGAGUGGAACUGCGAGUGUAGAGGUGAAAUUCGUAGAUAUUCGCAAGAACACCAGUGGCGAAGGCGGCUCACUGGCCCGGUACUGACGCUGAGGUGCGAAAGCGUGGGGAGCAAACAGG
rnacentral:rRNA from 1 species